CCUACGGGCGGCUGCAGUGGGGAAUAUUGGACAAUGGGGGCAACCCUGAUCCAGCCAUGCCGCGUGUGUGAAGAAGGUCUUCGGAUUGUAAAGCACUUUAAUUUGGGAGGAAGGGCUUACACCUAAUACGUGUAAGUUUUGACGUUACCAAAAGAAUAAGCACCGGCUAACUUCGUGCCAGCAGCCGCGGUAAUACGAAGGGUGCGAGCGUUAAUCGGAAUUACUGGGCGUAAAGCGCGCGUAGGUGGUUCGUCAAGUUGGAAGUGAAAGCCCUGGGCUCAACCUAGGAAUUGCUUUCAAAACUGGCGGGCUAGAGUACAGUAGAGGGUGGUGGAAUUUCCUGUGUAGCGGUGAAAUGCGUAGAUAUAGGAAGGAACAUCAGUGGCGAAGGCGACCACCUGGACUGAUACUGACACUGAGGUGCGAAAGCGUGGGGAGCAAACAGGAUUAGAUACCCCAGUAGUC
rnacentral:rRNA from 1 species